rnacentral:miRNA from 1 species
UAUUGCACUCGUCCUGGCCUCC